rnacentral:rRNA from 1 species
UGGGGAAUAUUGCACAAUGGGCGCAAGCCUGAUGCAGCCAUGCCGCGUGUAUGAAGAAGGCCUUCGGGUUGUAAAGUACUUUCAGCGAGGAGGAAGGCGUUGUGGUUAAUAACCGCAACGAUUGACGUUACUCGCAGAAGAAGCACCGGCUAACUCCGUGCCAGCAGCCGCGGUAAUACGGAGGGUGCAAGCGUUAAUCGGAAUUACUGGGCGUAAAGUGCACGCAGGCGGUCUGUCAAGUCGGAUGUGAAAUCCCCGGGCUCAACCUGGGAACUGUAUCCGAAACUGGCAGGCUAGAGUCUUGUAGAGGGGGGUAGAAUUCCAGGUGUAGCGGUGAAAUGCGUAGAGAUCUGGAGGAAUACCGGUGGCGAAGGCGGCCCCCUGGACAAAGACUGACGCUCAGGUGCGAAAGCGUGGGGAGCAAACA